UUCCUACGGGACGCAGCAGGGAAUUUUCGUCAAUGGGCGCAAGCCUGAACGAGCGAUGCCGCGUGAGUGAAGAAGGCCUUCGGGUCGUAAAGCUCUGUUGCGGGGGAAAAAAGGCAGUAUCAGGAAAUGGGUGCUGACUGAUGGUGCCCCGCCAGAAAGUCACGGCUAACUACGUGCCAGCAGCCGCGGUAAUACGUAGGUGGCGAGCGUUAUCCGGAAUGAUUGGGCGUAAAGGGUGCGCAGGCGGUCCUGCAAGUCUGGAGUGAAACGCAUGAGCUCAACUCAUGCAUGGCUUUGGAAACUGG
rnacentral:rRNA from 1 species